GGUACCGAGGGGCGAGGGGCGGCUGGAAAGCGGAGGGGGAGAGCGUGGGCGGGUGUUAGAGGCGGAAAAGGGAGAGUAGGCGGCCAGUGAGGUCCGUUGAGAAAACCCGAGGCGCAGCGUCGAGACGCCGAUGGAAGGCGACGGGCUAGAGUCCGGAAGGGGAGAGUGGAAUACCAGGAGUAGCGGUGAAAUGCGCAGAUAUGGGGAGGAACACCCGUGGCUAAGGCGGCUCUCUAGUACGGUACUGACGCUGAGACGCGAAAGCGUGGGGAGCGAACAGGAUUAGAUACCCCUGUAGUC
rnacentral:rRNA from 1 species